rnacentral:rRNA from 1 species
AAUAGAUACCCAGGUAGUCCACGCCGUAAACGAUGGAUACUAGCUGUUUGAGCGCAAGUUUGAGUGGCUAAGCGAAAGUGAUAAGUAUCCCACCUGGGGAGUACGGGCGCAAGCCUGAAACUCAAAGGAAUUGACGGGGGCCCGCACAAGCGGUGGAGCAUGUGGUUUAAUUCGAUGAUACGCGAGGAACCUUACCAGGGCUUAAAUGUAGAUUGACGUAUUUGGAAACAGAUAUUUCUUCGGACAAUUUACAAGGUGCUGCAUGGUUGUCGUCAGCUCGUGCCGUGAGGUGUCAGGUUAAGUCCUAUAACGAGCGCAACCCCUGUUGUUAGUUGCCAGCGAGUAAUGUCGAGAACUCUAGCAAGACUGCCAGUGUAAACUGUGAGGAAGGUGGGGAUGACGUCAAAUCAUCACGGCCCUUACGUCCUGGGCCACACACGUGCUACAAUGGCCGGUACAGAGAGCAGCCACUUAGCGAUAAGGAGCGAAUCUAUAAAGCCGGUCACAGUUCGGAUCGGAGU